GACGAACGCUGGCGGCGUGCUUAACACAUGCAAGUCGAACGGUGAAGCGCCUUCCUUUUUGGUGGGUGUGGUUGCGUGGCGAACGGGUGAGUAACACGUGAGUAACCUGCCCCCUUCUUCUGGAUCACCGCAUGAAAGUGUGGCUAAUACGGGAUAUUCUGGUUCUGUCGCAUGAUGGGUCUGGGAAAGCUAUUGUUUCGGUGGGGGGUGGACGCGCGGCCUAUCAGCUUGUUGGUGGGGACAUGGCCUACCAAGGCGGUGCCGGGUAGCGGGCAUGCGAGGGUGACCGGCCAGAUUGGGACGGAGAGAGGGCCAGGAUUCCUAGGGGAGGGAGCAGUGGGGAAUAUUGCACAAUGGGCGGACGCCUGAUGCAGAAACGCCGCGUGCGGGAUGACGGCCUUGGGGGUGUAAACCGGGUUCGCCUGUGACGAAGCGUGAGUGACGGUAAUGGGUAAAGAAGCACCGGCUAACUACGUG
rnacentral:rRNA from 1 species